AGAGGAAGUAAAAGUCGUAACAAGGUUUCCGUAGGUGAACCUGCGGAAGGAUCAUUAUCGAGUUUUGACUGGGUUGUAGCUGGCCUUCCGAGGCAUGUGCACGCCCUGCUCAUCCACUCUACACCUGUGCACUUACUGUGGGUAUCAGAUCGUGAAGCGUGCUCUUUUACCGGAGCUUGUGAAGCGUGUCUGUGCCUGCGUUUAUCACAAACACUAUAAAGUAUCAGAAUGUGUAUUACGAUGUAACGCAUCUAUAUACAACUUUCAGCAACGGAUCUCUUGGCUCUCGCAUCGAUGAAGAACGCAGCGAAAUGCGAUAAGUAAUGUGAAUUGCAGAAUUCAGUGAAUCAUCGAAUCUUUGAACGCACCUUGCGCUCCUUGGUAUUCCGAGGAGCAUGCCUGUUUGAGUGUCAUGAAAUCUUCAACCUAUAAGCUUUUGUGGUUUGUAGGCUUGGACUUGGAGGCUUGUCGGCCUUGAUCGGUCGGCUCCUCUUAAAUGCAUUAGCUUGAUUCCUUGCGGAUCGGCUCUCGGUGUGAUAAUAUCUACGCCGCGACCGUGAAGCGUUUGGCGAGCUUCUAACCGUCUCACUUGAGAGACAACUUUAUGACCUCUGACCUCAAAUCAGGUAGGACUACCCGCUGAACUUAAGCAUAUCAAUAA
rnacentral:rRNA from 1 species